rnacentral:rRNA from 1 species
AGACGGGUUACUCCCGUCCCUCCAUAGAGUAACCGGAGGNGCUGCACAAGGUUCCCUCCGCUCGGACUGGAAAUCAGCUGUAGAGUGUAAAGGCAGAAGCGCGUGCGUUGACUGCGAGACCUACAAGUCGAGCAGGGACGAAAGUCGGCNCUUAGUGAUCCGACGGUGCGCGCAAGUG